rnacentral:misc_RNA from 1 species
GAUGAAGAACGCAGCGAAAUGCGAUAAGUAGUGUGAAUUGCAGAAUUCAGUGAAUCAUCGAAUCUUUGAACGCACAUUGCGCCCCUUGGUAUUCCAUGGGGCAUGCCUGUUCGAGCGUCAUUACAACCCUCAAGCUCAGCUUGGUGUUGGGCCCCGCCGCCCCGGCGGGCCCUAAAGUCAGUGGCGGUGCCGUCCGGCUCCGAGCGUAGUAAUUCUUCUCGCUCUGGAGGCCCGGUCGUGUGCUCGCCAGCAACCCCCAAUUUUUUUCAGGUUGACCUCGGAUCAGGUAGGGAUACCCGCUGAACUUAAGCAUAUCAAUAAGCGGAGGA